rnacentral:rRNA from 1 species
GACGAACGCUGGCGGCGUGCUUAACACAUGCAAGUCGAACGGAGUGGCGAACGGGUGAGUAACACGUGGGGACCUGCCCUGCACUUCGGGAUAAGCCUAGGAAACUGGGUCUACUACCGUACAGUGUGGGAUGGGCCCGCGGCCUAUCAGCUUGUUGGUGGGGUAAUGGCCUACCAAGGCGACGAUCCGUAACUGGUCUGGGAGGAUGAUCAGUCACCCUAGAACUGAGACGCCGUCCUGGCUCCUUCGGGAGGCAGCAGUGGGGAAUAUUGGACAACGGGCGAAAGCCUGAUCCAGCCAUGCCGCGUGUGAGAAGAAGGUGUUCGGAUUGUAAAGCACUUUAAGUUGGGAUGCGUUACCAACAGAAUAAGCACCGGCUAACUUCGUGCCAGCAGCCGCGGUAAUUC